rnacentral:rRNA from 1 species
UGAGUACGAGAUGCUACGGCAUCGAAGCAGUCUAUGUCAUACUUCCAAGAAAAGCUUGCAAUGUCAUAAACAAAUAAUGCCUGUACCAUAACCGACACAGGUGGGUAGGUAGAGUAUACUAAGGGGCGCGAGAUAACUCUCUCUAAGGAACUCGGCAAAAUGACUCCGUAACUUCGGGAGAAGGAGUGCCUUAUUUUUAUAAGGUUGCAAUAACAAGAUCCAAGCAACUGUUUACCAAAAACACAGGUCUCCGCUAAGUCGUAAGACGAUGUAUGGGGGCUGACGCCUGCCCAGUGCCAGAAGGUUAAAGAAGUUGGUUAGCAUUAGCGAAGCUGAUAACUGAAGCCCUGGUGAACGGCGGCCGUAACUAUAACGGUCCUAAGGUAGCGAAAUUCCUUGUCGGGUAAGUUCCGACCCGCACGAAAGGCGUAAUGAUUUGGAUACUGUCUCGGAGAGGGGCUCGGUGAAAUAGACUUGUCUGUGAAGAUGCGGACUACCUGCACCUGGACAGAAAGACCCUAUGAAGCUUUACUGUAACUUGAGAUUGAAAUUGGACUUUAUCUGCGCAGUAUAGGUGGGAGACGUUGAAAAUAUUCUUGCGGGAAUAUUGGAGUCAUCAGUGAGAUACCACUCUUAUAAUGUUAGAUUUCUAACUUUGUAUCAUUAUCUGGUCAAAGAACAGUUUCAGGCGGGCAGUUUGACUGGGGCGGUCGCCUCCCAAACGGUAACGGAGGCGCACAAAGGUUUCCUCUGAACGUGUAGAAAUCGUAUCUAGAGUGUAAAGGCAUAAGGAAGCUUGACUGUGAGACCUACAAGUCGAGCAGGGACGAAAGUCGGUCUUAGUGAUCUGACGGUGCUGAGUGGAAAGGCCGUCACUCAACGGAUAAAAGUUACUCUAGGAUAACAGGCUGAUCUCCCCCAAGAGCUCACAUCGACGGGGAGGUUUGGCACCUCGAUGUCGGCUCAUCGCAUCCUGGGGCGGUAGUACGUCCCAAGGGUUGGGCUGUUCGCCCAUGAAAGCGGUACGCGAGCUGGGUUCAGAACGUCGUGAGACAGUUCGGUCCAUAUCCGGUGUAGGCGUUAGAAUAUUGAGAGGAGCCUUCUUUAGUACGAGAGGACCGAGAAGGACAUACCUCCGGUGUACCAGUUAUCGUGCCAACGGUAAACGCUGGGUAGCCAUGUAUGGAGAGGAUAACCGCUGAAAGCAUCUAAGUGGGAAGCCCACCUCAAGAUAAGUAUUC